rnacentral:rRNA from 1 species
AGAGUUUGAUCCUGGCUCAGGAUGAACGCUGGCGGCGUGCCUAACACAUGCAAGUCGAGCGAUCUUCUUCGGAAGAGAGCGGCGGACGGGUGAGUAACGCGUGGGUAACCUGCCUCAUACACAUGGAUAACAUACCGAAAGGUAUGCUAAUACAAGAUGAUAUAAGAGAUUCGCAUGGAUUUCUUAUCAAAGCUCCGGCGGUAUGAGAUGGACCCGCGUCUGAUUAGCUAGUUGGUAAGGUAACGGCUUACCAAGGCGGCGAUCAGUAGCCGACCUGAGAGGGUGAUCGGCCACAUUGGAACUGAGACACGGUCCAAACUCCUACGGGAGGCAGCAGUGGGGAAUAUUGCACAAUGGGCGAAAGCCUGAUGCAGCAACGCCGCGUGAGCGAUGAAGGCCUUCGGGUCGUAAAGCUCUGUCCUCAAGGAAGAUAAUGACGGUACUUGAGGAGGAAGCCCCGGCUAACUACGUGCCAGCAGCCGCGGUAAUACGUAGGGGGCUAGCGUUAUCCGGAUUUACUGGGCGUAAAGGGUGCGUAGGUGGUUUCUUAAGUCAGGAGUGAAAGGCUACGGCUCAACCGUAGUAAGCUCUUGAAACUGGGAAACUUGAGUGCAGGAGAGGAAAGUGGAAUUCCUAGUGUAGCGGUGAAAUGCGUAGAUAUUAGGAGGAACACCAGUAGCGAAGGCGGCUUUCUGGACUGUAACUGACACUGAGGCACGAAAGCGUGGGGAGCAAACAGGAUUAGAUACCCUGGUAGUCCACGCCGUAAACGAUGAGUACUAGUGUCGGGGGUUACCCCCCUCGGUGCCGCAGCUAACGCAUUAAGUACUCCGCCUGGGGAGUACGCUCGCAAGAGUGAAACUCAAAUGAAUUGACGG